GUCUACUUAGCUUGGAAGGAAGAGCGCCUGCAUUGUAAAUGCUAGGUCACGGGUUCGAUUCCCGAACGAGACG
rnacentral:tRNA from 1 species